rfam:Trichomonas vaginalis G3, whole genome shotgun sequence.
GUAGUCUGCCAUACGCAGGAAGACCCGCUGAACUGAAGCAUCUCAUUAAGCGGAGGAAAAGAAACUAACUAGGAUUCCCUUAGUAAAGGCGAUCGAAAAGGGAACAGCCCAACGUCUUAAUCCCGCAAGGGAAAUGUAGUCGGUUCACCUAUUGCACUGGUCUAAGUCAGAUGGAAUGCUGCGCGAUUCAGAGUAAAAGCCUCGUAUGACCAACCGCAAGCUUACGAUGGACCGGGGAGAGUCGGAUACUUUGAGAGUAGUGUCUUAAGGGGGUGGUAUGUCCCAUCCAAGGCUAAAUAACGUGAGGAGACCGAUAGAUUACAAGUAGUGUGAACGAAAGAUGAAAAGAACUCUAAAACAGAGGGUGAAAAGUUCCUGAACUUGCUUAGGGUUAAGGCUAUUUAUAGUACCCGUCUUGAAACACGGAUUAGGGAGUUUAUAUGUAGUGCGAGUCUUUGCACGUUAACUGUAAAGGCGUAGAGAAAGCAACUGGCGUUUGCAUGGCUACUGAGCAUUACUGAUAGGACCCGAAAGGUGGUGAACUUUGCCUGCACAGGUUGAAGUCAGGGGAAACUCUGAUG